rnacentral:rRNA from 1 species
GAUGAACGCUGGCGGCGUGCCUAAUACAUGCAAGUCGAGCGAACAGACGAGGAGCUUGCUCCUCUGACGUUAGCGGCGGACGGGUGAGUAACACGUGGAUAACCUACCUAUAAGACUGGGAUAACUUCGGGAAACCGGAGCUAAUACCGGAUAAUAUAUUGAACCGCAUGGUUCAAUAGUGAAAGACGGUUUUGCUGUCACUUAUAGAUGGAUCCGCGCCGCCUUAGCUAGUUGGUAAGGUAACGGCUUACCAAGGCGACGAUGCGUAGCCGACCUGAGAGGGAGAUCGGCCACACUGGAACUGAGACACGAUCCAGACUCCUACGGUAGGCAACAGUAGGGAAUCUUACGCAAUGGGGGAGAGCCGGACGGAGCAACGCCGCGGGAGUGAUGAUGGUCUUCGGAUGGGAAAACUCUGUUAUUAGGGAAGAACAAAUGUGUAAGUAACUAGGCACGUCGUGACGGUACCUAAUCAGAAAGCCACGGCUAACUACGUG